rnacentral:rRNA from 1 species
UACGAGCGCACCCUUGUCCCUAGUUGCCAGCACUUCGGGUGGGAACUCUAGGGAGACUGCCGGUGAUAAACCGGAGGAAGGUGGGGAUGACGUCAAGUCAUCAUGGCCCUUAUGGGGAGGUCUACACACGUGCUACAAUGGCCGGUACAGAGGGCUGCGAAGCCGCGAGGUGGAGCGAAUCUCAGAAAACCGGUCGUAGUCCGGAUUGCAGUCUGCAACUCGACUGCAUGAAGCCGGAAUCGCUAGUAAUCGCGGAUCAGAACACCGCGGUGAAUACGUUCCCGGGCCUUGUACACACCGCCCGUCACACCAUGGGAGUGGGCUGUACCAGAAGUAGGUAGUCUAACCUUCGGGAGGACGCUUACCACGGUGUGGUUCAUGACUGGGGUGAAGUCGUAACAAGGUAGCCCUAGGGGAACCUGGGGCUGGAUCA